AUUAUUAUAUUUAAAAAAAAUUACAAUAUCCGGUUAAGCCUCACCGACUUAUUGUCGCGGUAAAAUACACAGCGCUGCACUGGGAAAAUUCGAUUUGGUAGAAGCAAAUUUCAAAAUUUCUUUGCUUUCUUCGCUGUAAAACCAACGGCUACGAAUACGGCGGUGGAACAACCAAACUCUUUCUGUGGCGACAUGGACAAAUUAGGGCAUCAGUUUUGACGAAUCGACUGUUGGAUUUGGUAAAUAUUGCCCUGAGUGUUUUCCGGCGACGGACAAUUCAACAUCCGAACUACACAGAGGGGUGGUGAAUAAUGGAGAAAAUAAUCUAUUCAGCCGAGCAGUUGGAAAUCGAAGAAGAGAAAGGAAUAGAUGCCCGUACAAAACUACGACAAAAUCUUAUACGGUUAUCCAGUCAAUUAUUGGAGAUGUUGGCAACAGCUCAACAUAAUAUUGUUGACGAAAAAACUGCAGAAAUAAAGUCUGCUCUCAAUCUUCUCUUGCCGGCAAAUGAUGGGAAGUGGUUGGUGAACGACUGUGUAGAAUUACAAGACAUUACAAACUUCUUCUUAUGCUGUGUGGCACUUGCAUCUGCUGAUGAUGAUGCUGGGGUAAUGAUGUCAUGGGUACCAAAUGAUUUGUCUGAUUUUGCAGCAAAGGCAAUCACGGAUUUAUCAAAAACUGUUUAUUCUGAUCAGGAGCAAAAUCUAAUUAAAGUUUCUUCCAGUUACCAAAUCUCAUAUCAUGAUAAGGGUUUGGAUUUGACAAAAAUAAGUUAUGAUAAGAGAUUAAUCCUAGAAUUAAUGCCCAUAACAUUGCCCUUGUUGAAAGAUGCAAUUAAAAGUACUUGCAGUAACUACAAAGAUGAUGGAUUGGAUGAAUUUAUUCCCAGUGCAUCAAAAUCUUCUGCAAUCAUAGCAUCACACCAGAUGCGUUGGUGCUUGAAACAGGUUAAACAUCCAUAUCUUGGACCAUCAUGUGCGCUCAUUAUUCCCUGUGCAUUAACAGCCUUAGAUCAUUGGUCUCCUGAUGUGAAGGUACAAGCAAUGAGUUCCUUUGUACAUUUAGCAAAUAAUCUAAAUUCUACUGAGCUUGGAUGGUACAAGGAUGCAAUUCUUGAUGCAUCUUGUCGGAGCAUACCUGGCAGUGAACAAUUUUGGCAAUCAGUAAUGGAAAUCUCUGUGACACUUGUAAUUUGCAUUGAGGGAAAGAAUCCACGUGCACACUGGUAUAGAGAACUCUUGGGUGCAAUGCUUGGGGAGAUGGAACGGCACAGUGAAGAUAAGGAACGCCGCAUUAUAUGGCUCCAGCAAAUUGAACCACUUUUCAAGGCCAUGGGACUUGUUAUUCUAGCUUUUUUCAAGCGCCUAUUUCCUCUUCUUUUUCAUUGGUUGCAUGCAAAAGAUGAUGCCACAGUGAUACUGGUUCUUAAAAGGGUUCUUACCAUUACUAAGUUGACAUGGAUUCGAAAAACACCAUACAUAGAAAGGCUGGUAGAGGAAUUGGUACUUGCACACAAGACUUCAUGGACACGGAAAUCUGGUUCUGAAUUACGUGACAUAGUAGUUCAAAUCUUGGAACUACUUAAAUUGUGUAAAGGCUUGCAAUUUGAAGAGGCCUGGAGAAAGUACAAGGAUGAUUCUAUAUCGCUGCCUAGCUCAGAUAACAAGCAUUUUCUGCACAGUAGUCAUGAGGCCCAAAUUUUGAAGGGUGUGCAUUUGAAUGAGACCUGCCCCACAGCUUAGAAGGUGUUUUCACAUAGUAUCAGUUCUCUGGGGAGUUUGGAAACCAUAUCCUAGAACUAGCCUAACCAUAUCCUACUUUUCAUGCUCUUAUUCAUGGUUCUGAGCUUUGUUAAGAUGGGAAAAGAGAAGUGUUGCCUGCAGUUUUUUUGCAGCCUGUGGAGAAAGUGCAAGGAUUUAACUUUAAAUUCGUAACAGAUUUUCCAGAAUAUGACUGCACAAUUCUGGCUUACAGGUUCUUUUUGAUGGUUCCAGUUGAGGGGUUUUGUAACAGAUCUGUUAGUGCAUAAAAGAUGGAAUUCAAGUGGUAUAACCUGUAGUGGAGCUCUGGGCCUUCUGAAGAAAAUGCCAAUAUGCAAAUACUCUCUUAGACCACAAGCGGUGGGAAUGGUCUAUUUUCUUUUAUUAAAAAAGGCAUAGAUUGCCAUUAAGUGACUUGACUACUUUGAAGGUGUAAUAUCCCCUGCUAUUAUUAACUGUAAAACAAGGAAUAUUUGUUGUCCUAGUUGCGUGUUAUGCUGUUCUGAAGUUUUGUGCGUUACGCUGACAGCGCUUUAGUUUGUAAUAUGGAUCAUUAAAUAUGAACAUUUCAUGAAUAA